GACGAACGCUGGCGGCGUGAUUAACACAUGCAAGUCGAACGGAGUGGCGAACGGGUGAGUAACACGUGGGUGAUCUGCCUUGCACUUCGGGCUAAGCUUGGGAACCUGGGUCUAAUAAAGGAUAGUGCAGGAUGAGCUCGCGGCCUAUCAGCUUGUUGGUGGGGUAAUGGCCUACCAAGGCGUCGCAGGGUAGCCGGCCUGUGAGGGUGUACGGCUGAAUUGGGACUGCGAGACCGCCCAGACUCAUACGGGAGGCAGCACUGGGGAAUAUUGCACAAUGGGCGGAAGCCUUAUGCAGCGACGCCGCGUGGGGGAUGAAGGCCUUCGGGUUGUAAACUCCUUUCGACAGGGACGCGGUACCUGUAUAAGAAGCACCGGCUAACUACGUGCCAGCAGCCGCGGUAAUUC
rnacentral:rRNA from 1 species